rnacentral:lncRNA from 1 species
GAAAACUCCAGCUAUGAGCAGGCACUCAUGUUGCCGUGAACUACGCACUGAGUACUGGGUGAGUCAGAACAGGAUGUUGGAUAUUGUGUGGACACUUGAGGAAGAAUGAAGAAUUUAGCCAUGAUGAAUUUAUACUAAGAUGCAGAUGGAGUUAUUGCCAUGGUGUUAGGACAAGCUGAUUGUGUUAAAGCAUGUGACACACCUAAUUUCAGAAACCAGAGGGGAAAUCGCCGCUCAUUAAAGUUCAAGCUUGCAUCCCUUUGGUCUCCUCCAACUAGAGCCAUGAUAUGAUGGUCCUGCCCAGGUCAUGUAAGUGAGAGUCUGCCAGGUGGGGUCCUGGAAACCUUUUUCUCUCUUGAUAAAGAGAGACUCCACUGAUGUCCUUUCAUGUUUUGCCCAUCCUUCUUUAUGCAUGGAAGCCUGGACGCGAAUCAGCCUUCAAGUCUCUAAGGUCACAGCUGUGAUGGACAUGGAACAAGGUGCUAUGGGUUGAGGGACAGAUGCAGAGAGAGCACAGGACCCCAGAGGCAUCAUUUUCACCAGCUCUUGGCUACCUGCCUCCUGACUUCUUGGUAUAUGAGAAAAACAAACUCUCAUUGUUCAAGUUAUUACUUUCUCCUUGCCGUAUUUUUCUCAUCCAAAUACAAAACUACCUGAGGCUAUUAUAGACUUGUAAUUUCUCCCACCCAUGGAAAAAUGUGAUGAUUGUUAAAUCUUUAGAAAUAAUGAAUAAUGGUAAAAAGAAGUCAUCCAAGUUUUAGCAUCCAUUAUGACAAAAAAAUCAGAAUAUGUGUUGCUGUUCUAAGAAAUUUAGUAUUAAGAGAGCCAUAUGUUUAUGCCUAUGUUUAAAAACAUAGGGAUUAAAAUUAGUCUUACUUUCAUAAGGCAGCCAUUGGCACCUGAUUUCUGAUGAAACCACUGGUUAUUUGCUGUACCAGGUUAAAACAAAUUACUUUUAUUUGUAUAUUAUAUAUAUAUAUAUAUAACAUCAGGACUGCUUGUGAAUUGCCAUCUGUAAUGAAAUUUUAUUCUAUGUAAAUGAUAUCUAAUUAUUAAGAAGAAUUGUUGUCAAGAUAAAUGAGUAAAUAAAGCUGUCUAUGAUCUUAAAUUUUGAGAAAUAU